rnacentral:rRNA from 1 species
GACGAACGCUGGCGGCGUGCUUAACACAUGCAAGUCGAACGGAGUAAUAUGAAGUUUUCGGAUGGAUUAUUACUUAGUGGCGGACGGGUGAGUAACGCGUGGGUAACCUACCUCAUACAGGGGGAUAACAGUUGGAAACGACUGCUAAAACCGCAUAACAAGUUGAGACCGCAUGAUCUUAACUUCAAAUAUUUAUAGGUAUGAGAUGGGCCCGCGUCUGAUUAGCUAGUUGGUGGGGUAAUGGCCUACCAAGGCAACGAUCAGUAGCCGGCUUGAGAGAGUGACCGGCCACAUUGGGACUGAGACACGGCCCAAACUCCUACGGGAGGCAGCAGUGGGGAAUAUUGGACAAUGGGGGCAACCCUGAUCCAGCGACGCCGCGUGAGUGAAGAAGUAUUUCGGUAUGUAAAGCUCUAUCAGCAGGGAAGAUAAUGACAGUACCUGACUAAGAAGCCCCGGCUAACUACGUGCCAGCAGCCGCCGUAAUAC